rnacentral:rRNA from 1 species
AUUGAACGCUGGCGGCAUGCUUUACACAUGCAAGUCGAACGGUAACAGGCCUUCGGGUGCUGACGAGUGGCGAACGGGUGAGUAAUGCAUCGGAACGUACCCAGAGGUUGGGGAUAACGCAGCGAAAGCUGUGCUAAUACCGCAUGUGAUCUGAGGAUUAAAGCGGGGGACCGAGCAGGAAUGUUUGGCCUCUCGCCUUUGUAGCGGCCGGUUUCGGGUUAGCUAGUUGGUGGGGUAAAGGCCUCCAAAGGCAACGAUCCGUAGCGGGCCUGAGAGGAGGACCAGCAAACUUGGACCUGAGCAACGGCCCAGCCUCUUAGGGGAGGAAGCAGUGGGAAAUUUUGGAAAAGGGGCGAAAGCCUGAGGCAGAAAUGCCGGGGGCGGGAAGAAGGCCUUCGGGUUGUAAACCGCUUUUGGCAGGAACGAAACGGUGUCCGCUAAUACCGGGCGCUAAGGACGGAACCUGCAGAAUAAGCACCGGCGAAUUCCGU